rnacentral:tRNA from 1 species
GCCCACGUAGCUCAGCAGGAUAGAGCGAUCGCCUCCUAAGCGAUAGGUCGGAGGUUCGAAUCCCCUCGUGGGUG